rnacentral:rRNA from 1 species
UACGUAGGGUGCAAGCGUUAAUCGGAAUUACUGGGCGUAAAGCGUGCGCAGGCGGUUCCGCAAGUCAGAUGUGAAAUCCCCGGGCUCAACCUGGGAACUGCAUUUGAAACUACGGAGCUAGAGUGUGUCAGAGGGGGGGUGGAAUUCCACGUGUAGCAGUGAAAUGCGUAGAGAUGUGGAGGAACACCAAUGGCGAAGGCAGCCCCCUGGGAUGACACUGACGCUCAGGCACGAAAGCGUGGGGAGCAAACAGG